rnacentral:lncRNA from 1 species
UCCCGGGGCGCAGUCCACCCCCCUACCCGGCGCAGCUCCAUCCCGGGGCGCAGUCCACCCCCCACCCCACGCAGCUCCAUCCCGGGGCGCAGUCCCCCCCCCACCCGGCGCAGCUCCAUCCCGGGGCGCAGUCCACCCCCCCCCACCCGGCGCAGCUCCAUCCCGGGGCGCAGUCCAACCCCCACCCCACGCAGCUCCAUCCCGGGGAGCAAUCCACCCCCCCAAUCCUCCCCCACCCCGCGCAGCUCCAUCCCGGGCGCAGUCCACCCCCCACCCCACGCAGCUCAUCCCGGGGCGCAGUCCACCCACCCCCCGCGCAGCUCCAUCCCGGGGCGCAGUCCACCCCCCCACCCCGGCGCAGCUUCACCCCGGGGCGCAGUCCACCGCCCCCCACCAGGCGCAGCUCCCUCCGGGGCGCAGUCCACCGCUCCGGCGCAGCUUCACCCCGGGGCGCAGUCCUCCCCCACCCCCCCCACCCCGGCGCAGCUUCACCCCGGGGCGCAGCGUCUCCAAGGGCGCAUCUUCACCCGGGGCGCAGCCUCCCGGUCCGCGGCGCAGAGCAUCCCGCGCAGACGCGGCGCCCCGGGGAGGAGACGCGGGGCCGUCCCGGGCGCAGCCUCCCCUCCCCGGGCAGCAGCCGCCCGCGGACCCCCGCCCGGCCCGGCCUCCCCACCUGCCCGGCGGCGCUUACAUAAACGCGGGCCCGCGGCCGUGUCCAGCCCCGGGUCCGAGCCCCCGCCCGCCCGCCCGCCCGCGCUCACCUCGCCCCGGGCCGCUCCGCGCCGCACGCCGCCGGGCUCGGACCGCCAGGCCGCCGGGGCUCCGCUGGGACGCCGGACGCCGGGGCUCAGCGCGCUGGCCGUGGCCUGGCGCGGCCCCGAGCGCGGCCCCGAGCGCCGCCCGACCCCGCCGCCUCCGCCGCCGCCGCUCAGCCUCCGCCUCAGCCUCCGCCCUCCGCCCGCGGCCCGCGGCGCCGGCUCCGCCCUCCCCGCCGCCCCCGCCGCCGGCCGCGCGCACGCCGAGGGGGAGGGGCGCCGCCACGCAGGCCGCGGGCGCGCACGCCGCGCGAGCCUCCUGCGCCCGGGGCUGCGGGUCCGCGCGCCCCCGCCUGGCCGGGGUGCGCGGGGAGGGGCGCGCGGGGAGGGGCCGGGGGGGCGCGGGGAGGGGCGCCCAGAGUGCGCGCGGAGAGGGGCGCACGGGGAGGAGCGCACGGGGAGGGGCGCGGAGAGGGCGCGCGGGGAGGGCGCGCGGGGAGGGGGGCGGGGGGGCGCGCGGAGAGGGCGCACGGGGAGGAGCGCACGGGGAGGGGCGCGGAGAGGGCGCGCGGGGAGGGGCGCGGGGAGGGGCGCGGGGAGGGCGCGCGGGGAGGAGCGCACGGGGAGGGGCGCGGAGAGGGCGCGCGGGGAGGGGCGCGGAGAGGGCGCGCGGGGAGGGGCGCGGAGAGGGCGCGCGGAGAGAGGGGCGCGGGGGGGGCGCACCGGGAGGGGCGCGGAGAGGGCGCACGGGGAGAGGGGCGCGGUGCCGGGCGCUGCGGGUCGCAGGUCGGGAGCAGGCCGGGCCUGUCCGAGCCCAGGUGCUGACCUCAGGGGCUGCUCGGCGGCUCUCGGGGUCCCCGUCCCGGUAACGGCGCGUUGA